GGAGAGGUGCCCGAGAGGCCUAAGGGGCUCGGCUGGAAACCGAGUGGUCGGGUUAAAAGCCCGGCUCGCGGGUUCGAAUCCCGCCCUCUCCGCCA
rnacentral:tRNA from 1 species